rnacentral:rRNA from 1 species
GUAGGUGGCAAGCGUUGUCCGGAAUUAUUGGGCGUAAAGCGCGCGCAGGCGGUUCGUUUAAGUCUGAUGUGAAAGCCCACGGGCUCAACCGUGGAGGGUCAUUGGAAACUGGAGAACUUGAGUACAGAAGAGGAAAGCGGAAUUCCACGUGUAGCGGUGAAAUGCGUAGAGAUGUGGAGGAACACCAGUGGCGAAGGCGGCUUUCUGGUCUGUAACUGACGCUGAGGCGCGAAAGCGUGGGGAGCAAACAGGGUUAGAUACCCUGGUAGUCCACGCCGUAAACGAUGAGUGCUAAGUGUUAGGGGGUUUCCGCCCCUUAGUGCUGCAGCUAACGCAUUAAGCACUCCGCCUGGGGAGUACGGCCGCAAAGGCUG